rnacentral:misc_RNA from 1 species
CAUCUAAGGCUAAAUAUUGGCGAGAGACCGAUAGCGAACAAGUACAGUGAUGGAAAGAUGAAAAGCACUUUGAAAAGAGAGUGAAACAGUACGUGAAAUUGUUGAAAGGGAAGGGCUUGCACCCAGACACGGUUUCGGCCGGGCCAGCAUCAAGUAGAACGGGGUUAAAAGACUUGGGGAAUGUAGCUACUUCGGUAGUGUUAUAGCCCUUGGUGAUGACCCCUGUUUUGCUUGAGGACAGCGGUCUCUAGGAUGCUGGCGCAAUGGUUGCAAGCCACCCGUCUU